CCGCUAAGCCUAAAUAUUCCCUAGUGACCGAUAGCGGAUAGUACCGUGAGGGAAUGGUGAAAAGUACCGCGGGAGCGGAGUGAAAUAGUACCUGAAACCGUGUGCCUACAAGCCGUGGGAGCGUCGUCAGUCGGCUUGCCGAUUGGCCGUGACUGCGUGCCUUUUGAAGAAUGAGCCUGCGAGUUUGCGGUGUGUAGCGAGGUUAACCCGUGUGGGGUAGCCGUAGCGAAAGCGAGUCCGAAUAGGGCGUUUGAGUUGCAUGCCCAAGACCCGAAGCGGAGUGAUCUAGCCAUGGGCAGGUUGAAGCGCGGGUAAGACCGUGUGGAGGACCGAACCCACCAGGGUUGAAAACCUGGGGGAUGACCUGUGGUUAGGGG
rnacentral:rRNA from 1 species